CUCUGGUUGUCACUACGAGCUGCAGCCGCGCUGCCAGGAAGGAGGACGGGCUGAGGAUCUGCCUUGCUCCCACAGCAGCACGCUGCUGGGAUGGGCUGCAGGAGGCAGUGUGCCCAGGGGGCACAGCCCCAGCGUCCAGCCUGCCUUCUUCGGGCCGUGCCAGCCUGCACUCCUGUGCUCGUGUACUCCUACAGUGCUGUAGGAAUAGUGCACAGUGUCACUGUACACAUGAGGCACCUCGGCAUGCUGUGAUCUGGGAUUUCACCGCACAGUGAUCUUUAUCUUUUGCCUGGGCAGUGUUCUGUAAGAGCAGAGAACAGUGAGUUUCCAGCUUGUUUCCAUUCCUGAAUUGUCUCCUUUCCAAGAAAUUAACUGCCAUCUUAAAUUCCUGAUAUCCUCUCCUUCGUAUCCAAAAUAACUGUUUGUGUCUUUUAAAUGUUGCUGGUUGCUGAGUCUCAGUAACAAAACGCACUGACUGUCAUCUGCUCAAGAUCUUCACAGCGAUUACUUUUUUGUUAGUUAGAAUUAAUUUGUUACUGUUAUUUAACGACCUCACAACUACACUGCAAUUGGAAAACGAACACAGCCGCCAUUUCUCUGAUACCAGCCUGCUCUGGUGCACGUUGUCUUGUUCUAUAAAAGAAAGAAUCCAGUGACAGCUGUGGGACCUCAAACCUGAGAUGCCCCUCAUGGCAGUGCUGCCUGGUUCAUUCCCUGAUGGGCAGUACUGGCACUGGUGGAAGCAAAGGCGUUGUGCUGCUACAGCUGCAGCCAGAGCUCCCUGCCCACAGCUCUAAGCACACCUCCUUUUCCUCCCUGCUCCCGCAGCUCUAGCAAUUGUAUCUGUUGCUGUGAAAACCUGGCAGCUCCCCGCAGCAGCAGCUAUGGCUGUCUCCAUUGUACAGAGGAGGAAGAUGAAACACAGAAGAAAAUUAAUCUCUGAUUUAAUUAUUCUGCUUUUAGGAGCAAUGAGACCCACUGAUGAUACAGUGUGCUGCUGUCUUAUUGCUUGUUUAAAGAAUCUCACUGAACUCAAAAUAGAAACUGAGGAGUGUGGCAGCAUGCAGUGAUUAAGUUACAUUAGAAAGCAGUGAGCAAAUGUGCAAGGAACUAAAGACAUUAAGCUGGUGCUCUUAAUCUCCUCCAGAGACAUUAAACUCCGAGUAUUAAAAGUGAAAUAACAUUCAUAACUUUGUAAAGGUCAGAGCUUAGGCUGAUGUAAAAGCACUAUGGCAGCACGACUAAAGGCCAUGGUUGUGGCUGGUGGCAAAGGGUCUUGUGGGGAGGAAACACGGAGGGAGAUUCAGCUGUUGGUAACAAGGAAGCUCACAAAGGAGAUGCAGGUUCAACACCGUGAAGAUCUUCCAAAAGUAGCAAGAGUGAAACGAGGAACUCUUGGACAGGGGUACAGAUGCAGUGCUGCCUUCUGCAAUGAAGGGAGCUGCUCUGUGUGACUGGUGGUGGUAGAGGCGUGUGGGACAGAAGGUUGUGUGCUCUUACACUAACUUCCACUUGCACAGUUUAAUAUUGAAUUUUUUUUUUUGUUUGAGAAACUAAAUGUGCAUCUGAAAGCAGUUGACAUUAAUAGAAUAUGCCUUCAGGCAAACGUCAUUGGUGUUGCUGGGCUCUAGUUAGCCCAGCUAUUGUUUAAGUCGGUUGCAAACCAGUUGGGUUCUGCCUAGCAUUACAGGCUGUGUGAGCUAUGGGGGUGUGUGAGCAAUACGAAGGUGUGAGGAAUCUUCUGACAGUUUUCAUUCAAUCUGUUUCCAUUUUGAAUUGGCACUUGACGAUGAAGAAUUUGGCUUCUUACUCCCGUGGUAGCUCACCACUGUGAUUUAGUUUAUUUCUAGCUUUGAUUUUUUUCCAGUUUUGGUCUGUUAUUAGUUGUAUCCUUGUCCUGCUCACACAGCAGCACUCACAGCUAAUGGGGUGAAAGCAAGGAGGGACAUUACUGUUUGCUUUUGUUACCACCUUAUCCAAGAGUAUGUAGCAGCUAAUAGUGAUUGUAAUUCAGCCUGGGAACUGCUACUCAUUUUCUGGAAGGACUGUAUGCUUGGAGAAUUAAGCCAUACUUCUUUAGGGCAGGAGUGAUUCUCCAUUAUUUUGCUAUAGCAGUUCAUCUGUACUUUUGCCAUAAUAAUUCACAAUAAUUUAAGUUCUAAAAAUGUUUAGAGUAGUUAUUUACCAUCCUAUAUUAAACGUUCUCCUAGAACUGAGUCAUUCGUGGUCUUUCAUGCCAUGUUGCUUUGCAUUGCUGACUCCAAAUUAAGAUUACUCCAUUUAAAAUGGGCUGUAUCCCCCAGGCCGUGCCCUCCAACAGCACUUCUGCUGGUGUUUCAGUACCAGCUAUGUGGCAGUAAGCACAAUAGUAGUGCUAAUGCAAGACUAUGCUCCAUCUUUGCAUAGGUGCAAAUCAUUAGCAGUCCCUUUUAGCUCAGUGUAAUGCAUUACAGUUAGAUGGGAGCUGGGACAGUGCUGCCUUCCUACUGGGGCCACGUCCCAGGAAUAAUGGGUGACCAACAGACCCCACAGAGGACUGAGGCAUUCGGCACCUUUUAGAACUAGGAGAUGCAUCUGUAUUUUGCAUGCAAAAAGAUCUUUUCUGCUUGCCUUGAAAUCCCUAAAAGAAAUGCAGAAGUUUCAGAGGGCGCCUGCUGCUUUCGUCAUGACAGCAGUGCAGCACAGCAGUGAGCUGCUGCCAGUCCCUGCCGCCCGCCUGGCAGAUGCGGGAGAGCUGCAGGAGGUCACGGAUAUGGGCAGGCAGGCUGUCCUCAUCGUGGGGUUUUCUCUUUCUCAGAAGCAGAUGAUUGAAUAGAAACAAUAGACUGCUUUCCCCAUUUGAUGAUGAAGACUGACAGUUCGUAGGAGAUGAGUCAAAGGUUACUGAUGAGAAGAUCCAUCCAGAUAAUUGCCGUAAUUGUACCCUGAGGAUGCAGCUCCUAUCACAAAGCCAGAGAUUGUGAUUCUAUUUGUAUAUAAAUACUUGGCAGAGAACUCCAUCCUUUGCCUUAAAUGAAGAGAAUUCCUUCAUGAGAUACAAAUGGAGAAAGCUCUCUUAAAUUUUCACAUUUGUGAUAGAGAGCCCUGGGAUUAGCUACAAAGGUGGUAUUUAAACCCAGACAGCCAAAUAACCAGUUGGAUGUGAUCUCUAACAAAUUACAAUGUUCUGAAAAUAAAAUUCAGCAAGUGUGACAGUCAGAUGGGGGGGUUGGCAGCACGAGCUUUGAAAAUAAAUAGUCUUUAAUUGCAGGAAAUGACAGCGAGCAGCUCCUUGGCAUCACUUCUCUCAGAGCUGUGCUGCACAGCCAGGCGGCCGGCACUCCUCCUGCUGUGUGUGGUGUAAAGCGUGUGGGCACAUGGCAGGGAUGGGGACUGAGGGUGGAGGGUUUGCCACGAGGGCCCCGUGCAGCUCUGAGAGCUGUGUCCUGUGACUGUAGUGGAAAUGGUACAUCAUGGCUUGAAGCAGUGAUGGAGCACCUGGUGAGAAGGCAGAGCCAACCCAGGUGAGCUCAGAUGUAAGCAAUGCAUCUGAGUGAUGGAAAGGCUGGAGCCAGGAUCCACCCCUUCCAGCCCUCAUUUAAGGGCUGGCAGUGAAAGUGAAGGUAUCUCAUUUGGAGAUGCCUGUGUAUGACAGCAUUUCACAGGUAACCUGAAGGUAAGCAGCUUCUUUCUCUUAUUUCUGCACCCGCUGUUAUCACGUCUAAGCAGGUCUUCACUUGCUGAAGUCUGAGACCUUGCUGCUCUUCCAUCUUGUUAUAUUUUCUUUUCUAUCAUGUCAUAGCAUUGCAAGGUGGGCAGACAGUGAGAAGUGUGGGCACAGAGGGCUGUGGAACCUUUUUUUUUUCCUUCAGGAACCUUGGCAAAAUAAAUAAAUAAAAGUGGAACUCUGUUCAUCUCUCAUGUACUGAUUGCUCCCUCGUGUGACCCUUCUAAAUGGAGAUGACUUAUGGAAAAGGAUUCCCAUCUAUGACCAUCUGUGGUGAUAAAAUCCUCCUGGGACACUCGGGGCAGACCGGGAUGCUUUCAGCAAGAAGCAAUGCUCAUUUGUUGUGCUCACUUGUGAGUGAUAAAGGCCACACCAAGGCCAUGCCAGCCAGUUAUACUCUGUGAUGCCACCGCUGAAGAUACUCUGACUGCUGUCAGUGGAGUGAGAGAUGGACUGCACCUGAAUAUUUCUAACGAGAGUUAAAUGUGAUCUCAAAUCGAAUUCUUAUGGCUGCUGGAAUAACCAUGAGAAACAACAGCACUUGGAGGAAGGACCAGGCACCAUACGUGUGACUUAUCUGACAUAGAAUGACGUAGAUGUCUUAAAUGGGGCCCAAAAGGCCACCUGAGAUUGUGCCUCGAGUGCUGCUGUCAGAAAGGUGGACGGGAAAGGAAACUUGAACUCUCGGUGCUAUUGGCACCGGGAGAGGAUAAUCCUGUUUAUUCGGUCAUCCAAAGCACUGAUGAUGAUCUGAGAUAACCGGUGGCUGAGAGCAGCCAGGAGGUGCUCCGUGCCUGGAUGGAUGAGUCAGAUGCUCAGCACUGCAGCCCCAACAGGGUGUGGAGAAAGCCCCAACCAUCCUCACAAAGACAACAGAAACCAACCAGGUGUUUGGGGCCCUGCAGGUUGGAUUUUCAUGUGUGGCUGUUUGAUGAGCCCUGAAUGGCAGAAUUCUUGCUCUCCAAACUUUCUCCCUCUGCACCCGAAGAGUCAGUGCUGAACACUGUGCUCCUCCUGACGGUGCUUCAGGGCUCCUCGUGCAGAGCUCCGUGCUGCAGCACAGCCCUGAAGGCAAAGGCUUCAUCUCUGCUGAAGGCACCGCUGCUGCACUCCGGCCACCAGACUGAAGUAGUGGCUGCACUGCCCCGAAGGCACCACGUGUUGGGUACGUAGCACCAUUUCCUUAUUGGUGUUGGUAAGAAAGAAAAGGUGUCGUAUGGCGGCUGCAGACCGCUGCGGCUCUGUGGAUCCCUUCUAAAGAGACAGCAAGAGUUACCCAGCAUGAGCAAGGCUUCUGGCACCGGCACAACGAUUACAGUGGUUCUGCAGGUGACAGCAGUUCUGCAAUCAGCCCGCAGGGAGCAGCAGAGCGGUACCGGGCUGCUUUCCUCCCGGAGCCCCUGGGGGCUGGCAGUGCCUAGGAAUGGACCUGCAGACCCUCAGGAGGGAGUGCGCGUCCCCAGCGACCUGAGGGCAUCACACCGUGCUGCAGCGAGCACAGCCGGGGCUGUCCGUGUGGCCACAUCCGAGCAGGGCCAGAUCUGAUGUGACAGCUGCUGCCCUGCACAGCAGCAGCAUGGGACCAGCAGGAGAGCAGCGGCUGUGUGGCUUCACAAGCGUAAGCACGAGGCAGGAGCUGACAGCCCCACCUGCACUUACAUCUUGCUCAGCCUGAUGCCAACAUCUGGUGAGUUUCCAUUCUUCCCCUGUGCUCACGGUGGGGAACGGGCCUUAAUUUAACCCCACUGCCCCGUUACACAAAGCAGACAGCUGGGUGCCUGACUGUGCUGCUACAACAAGUGUUUUCCUGUUGGCCAAAGUUCAAAUCAAUCAGAAGGUCGAGCUUGUUGCAGGCUGACUAUCGGCGCAGUGAGUGAUAAGAGAGGAGAUGGCUCCGGAAGCCCAUUCCAGGUGCUGGAGCUGAGCCAGCCUGGCUGUGGAAGGGCUGCAGACAGCACUGAUACUGGAACCCAGCGGCUGCUCUCAAGCUGAGGGUAGCUGACGGGAAUUCUUGACAAAUUCUAUAAGAGAAAACUUCAGCACUUCAGAGACCAGUGCCGCAGUUUGCACGGCUGCUGCGUUGAGCAAUGUGAUGACAUUGCUUUAGAAGAACAAGCAGAAAAAUAAAUUAAAUUAAAAAAAGGAGAGGGGACGAGGACUUCUUGUAAUAGGCUUCUUCUCUUUGCAUUAAGGCGGGGGACAUUUGCCAGGGAGUUAGAAAGCCCA